CCGCCGCGGGAAUACGAAGGGUGCAAGCGUUACUCGGAAUUACUGGGCGUAAAGCGUGCGUAGGUGGUGGUUUAAGUCCGUUGUGAAAGCCCUGGGCUCAACCUGGGAAUUGCAGUGGAUACUGGGUCACUAGAGUGUGGUAGAGGAUAGUGGAAUUUCCGGUGUAGCAGUGAAAUGCGUAGAGAUCGGAAGGAACAUCUGUGGCGAAGGCGACUAUCUGGGCCAACACUGACACUGAGGCACGAAAGCGUGGGGAGCAAACAGGAUUAGAUACCCCGGUAGUCCCUGUCUCUUAUACACA
rnacentral:rRNA from 1 species